GCGCGAGUAGCUCAAUUGGCAGAGUGUCUCCUUCCCAAGGAGAAGGUUGCGGGUUCGAACCCCGUCUCGCGCUCCA
rnacentral:tRNA from 1 species